GAUGAACGCUAGCGGCAGGCUUAAUACAUGCAAGUCGAGGGGCAGCAGGGGUAGCAAUACUCGCUGGCGACCGGCAAACGGGUGCGGAACACGUACGCAACCUUCCCAAAACUGGUGAAUAGCCCUCCGAAAGGAGGAUUAAUACACCGUAACAUAAUGAAGUGGCAUCACUUUAUUAUUAUAGCUCCGGCGGUUUUGGAUGGGCGUGCGCCUGAUUAGGUAGUUGGUAGGGUAACGGCCUACCAAGCCAACGAUCAGUAACUGGUGUGAGAGCACGACCAGUCACACGGGCACUGAGACACGGGCCCGACUCCUACGGGAGGCAGCAGUAAGGAAUAUUGGUCAAUGGACGCAAGUCUGAACCAGCCAUGCCGCGUGAAGGAUGAAGGUCCUCUGGAUU
rnacentral:rRNA from 1 species